CAGUUUCAAAAUCUGUUCAUUUUUGGGAGCAACUUUAGAAUACAGCACUACAACUUCUCGUGAGGACGAUCUCUGCCGUAGGUCACGUGUCAUUAAGACAAGCAACCAGUUUGUGAGAACCCGUCGGACGCGAACCCGCGACCUUCGGAUUGUUAGCUCGACAGCUAACCG